GUGAGUGUUAGUCUGAGUGAGUGUUAGAGUGAGUGUUAGUGUGUGUGAGUGUUAGUGUGAGUGUUAGUGUGUGUGAGUGUUAGAGUGAGUGUUAGAGUGAGUGUUAGUGUGUGUGAGUGUUAGAGUGAGUGUUAGUGUGUGUCUGCUAGUGAGUGUUAGUGUGUGUGUGUGUUAGAGUGAGUGUUAGUGUGUGUGAGUGUUAGAGUGAGUGUUAGUGUGUGUGUGGGU